rnacentral:rRNA from 1 species
CCCUUAGAUGUUCUGGGCUGCACGCGUGCUACACUGAACAGUUCAACAAGUCUUAACCUUGGCCGAUAGGUCUGGGUAAUCUUUGAACGCUGUUCGUGAUUGGGAUAGACCUUUGCAAUUAUGGGUCUUCAACGAGGAAUUCCUAGUAAACGCAAGUCAUCAGCUUGCAUUGAUUACGUCCCUGCCCUUUGUACACACCGCCCGUCGCACCUACCGAUUGAAUGGUCCGGUGAAAUCUCGGGACGGCGGCUUGGUCGCUUGCGUCCGACUGCUGAAACUUGAUUAAACCAUAUCAUUUAGAGGAAGGUGAAGUCGUAACA